UUCGUGAAUAGUGAGGUCAUGAGCUGAGCUGAAGUCGGAUGCUUAACCAAGUGAGCCACCCAGGCACACCAUGACCAUUUUUUUUUAACCCAUUUUGCUUCUAUAAGAGUUGUCAUCCAUAGGACUGCCAACAUUGCAUUAGAAAAUGAAAUUUUUAGUAGAUCCAAGAUCCCCACACCUUCUUUCUCGCCCACUGCCAGGGCACAACCAAGUUUUGUCACUGUCUGGACAACUCUGUGUGAACAGCUUGGUUUUUGCUCUCGUGUAAAAUCCCUGCUCCUCCACAUAGGUAGGCCCAUUUAGCAAUCAGCUGAUGUUCAGACAUCACCUCCUUUUCAUCAUUAAUCAGUUAUCAAGCACUUACUUUAUACCAGGUACUGUGCUGAAACGCUUUCCCACUCUCCUCCCAACUAGACUCAACAUCUCCUACCAUAUGCGUCCAUGACCUUGCAAUAACACUUCUUACCUUGUAUUGCUAUUACCUGAAAAAAAAAAAAAGUCUGCAUUACUUGGACAUGCGGUGCCCCUACCCUGCCUCUACCCCUUUCUCUGACCAGUGGCAGAAUUUUAAAAAGUACCCACAAAGCCUAAUGGGAUCCCUUUCCCCCAAAUUCAUACAAGGAAUCUUUUUUUCCCCCCCUAUGAGUCAGAGAAAUAGAUUUGGCUGAGGAAGGCUGAAUUCUUGAGCUGGGGUGGGAAAGAGGCGUGGGGGAAGGUGGUGAAUUCAGUUUUAAAUGUGUUGUUUUGGGAUUCAGUGCAUUGUAGCGAUUGGGCCAUAGAAUGGCUAUUACAUUAGGGGCCUACAGGAGAACAUUUUUUUGUAAGCCAUCCUACCGAAAUUUGAAUGCAUAAGGAACAAGAUUUGGAUUCUUGUGUUUGAUAUAGAUUAUUUAGAUUUAGGAGGUUCUUUUCUGGAUAGGGUUGUUUGAUUUUAAUGUUGCUAGUGUUCGGGAAGUCUUUUAAACAACUUGUUUGGGGAACGUGUGUUAUCAGCUAGAUAGCGCGUACCUCAGCGGCAUUGUCUCCCAUUUUUCUGUUCGGAAGACAACAGCACCUCUGUCUGCUUGGGGAUACGUGACAGCCAUUUGUACGGCUACUGCUGGACUUCUAGCUCUAGCUGUCCAGGCAGACAAGCCAAAUCUUCCAAUAGGAAAUUUUUGGCAAAUGACAAAAACUCAGGAGGGCUGUCCUUUGUGAGCAGACCUUGGAGCAGUAGGAAUGCAGCCUAUUAAAAAGAUGGCUGGAGGAUGAUAAAUACACACAACUGAUAAAACUCAGCGAGACAUUUUAUCUAGUUGCAAACUUGCCUUCUCUCAGAGAACAUAGAUUUAAGCAGAUUCAUGUGUUCAUAGUGUGGGUGUGAAAAGAGACAGUCUGAAAAGCCAUUCCAAACAAACUUGUGUUUUAAAAGAGUAGGUGAAAUCGAUAUUCAGAGGAAAGAAAAGAUGGCAUGCAGGAAGUAAUAUUCUGGUUAAUGCUGUGACCUUCACAUGCCAACUUGUUCUCUUGAAAGUAAUGCUGGCUACAGUCUACAGGUGUAGAGGAUACAGGAAGCAUCUCACUCCUGAAGAGCCCAGGAAAGCAUUUAUAGGCAUCCUGGGUAUCUGCUAUUACGGCUCCUUGGAUUCUGUUAGCUCGAUGUCCUGGGAGAUGACUGAGGUUCCCACAGACCAAACUGUGGCACAGCACCAGACAGGUAACAAUACUGAGGUAUUAUGAUUACUAGUACGUUCAGCCUUCUUUCUGGCUGCAGCAAAAGUGGCCAACUGACCACCAAAAAUUCAUGCUCCUUCCCUCCGGACAACAUCCAAGGUAUAGUCAUGUGAUUAGUUCUCUGCAAUGGAAUGUGAGCAGCAGAGAUGGAAAUCACCAAGGAUUAUUAUUUUCUCUGCUUCAGUUGGAUGCUUACUUAACGGGAGAUGAUUUUUUCCAUAAGUGGAGGAAACAGAGGGCAGGAAGAUGCCUCUGUUUGUUCAUUAAUUCUGAAUCCUCAAAGAGCCAGGGGAGACCAGAUGUAUCUAAGUCAUGGCUAUAGUCUGAAUGGUGUGUCCCCUAAAAUUCAUAUGUUGAAGUCGGAAUCCUCAAGGUGAUGGUAUUAGGAAAUGGGGCUGCUGGGUGGAGAUUAGAUCAUGGAAUUACUGCCCUUAUUAAAGAGGCCUCAGAGAGCUCCCUCGCCCUUUCCACCGUGUGAGGACACAGCAAGAAGACAGCUGUCGACGAACCAGGAAGCGGGUUUUCACCAGACACUGAAUCAGCCAACACCUUGAUCGUGGACCACCCAGCCUCUACAACUGUAAAAAACAAACUUCUAUUGUUUAUGAGACACUCAGUCUAUUGUAUUUUGUUAUAGAAGCUUAUACAGAUUAAGACAGCCACGUUGGUGAGGCAAAUGACCUGCUUUGAUAUUUGUCAUCUCUAUAAUUAACUUCCCUGUAGCCCAGGGCUACCCCCCACCUAGUUAUACCAGGGUCUCCCUCAAGCUCAGUGUUGGUGAACACUUCAUUAACAUGAAUGGUGUAUGAAUGAAUGGAGUUCUGACCAUCUUCUUCUGCACAUUUGCUUUCCGGUGAUCCCUUCGACCGAUUCUUUUGAUACAUGAAUCUCUGCUUCAACAAGGCCAACAUCUUUCUCAAUAAGCAACCAAGCCAAUGAAUGAAGGAGUGAUACCACAGGAAAGGAGUUUCCCCUCUGUGUCUAUAAUCCACUAGUAGCUGGAAGAUCUACCAAAUGAGAUUAUUAAAAAGAAUAAAAAUUAGAAGUUGUAUAUAUUAACAACAGCAAGGACCUACAUCAUAUCAGGCACUGAGCUGGAUAUUUCUGACAUGUUUUCAUUUAAACACAAUAGCUGUCAUGUAGGUGUUAGUCUCCCUAUUUUACAGGUGAGUCAAUUGAGGCUUGGUGUGGUAAGUAUGCAGCAAAGUCAGAAUUCCAAUCCUUGGCUUCCUAAUUUCCACCCUCCCUCCC